GGAGAGGUGGCCGAGCGGCUGAAGGCGCACGCCUGGAAAGUGUGUAUACGGCAACGUAUCGAGGGUUCGAAUCCCUCUCUCUCCGCCA
rnacentral:tRNA from 4 species